rnacentral:SRP_RNA from 1 species
AGGAAGGAAGCAGCAAUAACAAUCGGUGCGUCGG